GAUGAACGCUGGCGGCGUGCAUAACACAUUCAAGUCGAACGAGGUAGCAAUACCUAGUGGCGGACGGGUGAGUAACGCGUGAGCAACCUGCCCUUGUGUGGGGGAUACCAUCUGGAAGCGGAUGUUAAUACCGCAUAACGUAUAUGGAUCGCAUGUUCUGUAUACCAAAGAUUUAUUGCGCAAGGAUGGGCUCGCGUCUGAUUAGAUAGUUGGCAGGGUAACGGCCUACCAAGUCUACGAUCAGUAGCCGGACUGAGAGGUUGAACGGCCACAUUGGAACUGAGAUACGGUCCAGACUCCUACGGGAGGCAGCAGUGGGGAAUAUUGGGCAAUGGGCGAAAGCCUGACCCAGCGACGCCGCGUGCGGGAAGAAGGUCUUCGGAUUGUAAACCGCUGUUAUAGGGGACGAAAUUUUGACGGUACCCUAUGAGGAAGCCACGGCUAACUACGUGCCAGCCGCCGCAGUAAGAC
rnacentral:rRNA from 1 species